rnacentral:rRNA from 1 species
CCUACGGGAGGCAGCAGUGAGGAAUAUUGGUCAAUGGGCGAGAGUCUGAACCAGCCAAGUAGCGUGAAGGAUGACUGCCCUAUGGGUUGUAAACUUCUUUUAUAAGGGAAUAAAAUGUUCCACGUGUGGGAUUUUGUAUGUACUAUAUGAAUAAGGAUCGGCUAACUCCGUGCCAGCAGCCGCGGUAAUACGGAGGAUCCGAGCGUUAUCCGGAUUUAUUGGGUUUAAAGGGAGCGUAGGUGGGUUGUUAAGUCAGUUGUGAAAGUUUGCGGCUCAACCGUAAAAUUGCAGUUGAGACUGGCAGUCUUGAGUACAGUAGAGGUAGGCGGAAUUCGUGGUGUAGCGGUGAAAUGCUUAGAUAUCACGAAGAACUCCGAUUGCGAAGGUAGUUCACUAGACUGCCACUGACGCUGAGGCACGAAUGUCAGGGGAGCGAACAGGAUUAGAUACCCGAGUAGUC